rnacentral:rRNA from 1 species
CGAAUGCUGACAUAAGUAACGAUAAAGCGGGUGAAAAGCCCGCUCGCCGGAAGACCAAGGGUUCCUGUCCAACGUUAAUCGGGGCAGGGUGAGUCGACCCCUAAGGCGAGGCCGAAAGGCGUAGUCGAUGGGAAACAGGUUAAUAUUCCUGUACUUGGUGUUACUGCGAAGGGGGGACGGAGAAGGCUAUGUUGGCCGGGCGACGGUUGUCCCGGUUUAAGCGUGUAGGCUGGUUUUCCAGGCAAAUCCGGAAAAUCAAGGCUGAGGCGUGAUGACGAGGCACUACGGUGCUGAAGCAACAAAUGCCCUGCUUCCAGGAAAAGCCUCUAAGCAUCAGGUAACAUCAAAUCGUACCCCAAACCGACACAGGUGGUCAGGUAGAGAAUACCAAGGCGCUUGAGAGAACUCGGGUGAAGGAACUAGGCAAAAUGGUGCCGUAACUUCGGGAGAAGGCACGCUGAUAUGUAGGUGAGGUCCCUCGCGGAUGGAGCUGAAAUCAGUCGAAGAUACCAGCUGGCUGCAACUGUUUAUUAAAAACACAGCACUGUGCAAACACGAAAGUGGACGUAUACGGUGUGACGCCUGCCCGGUGCCGGAAGGUUAAUUGAUGGGGUUAGCGCAAGCGAAGCUCUUGAUCGAAGCCCCGGUAAACGGCGGCCGUAACUAUAACGGUCCUAAGGUAGCGAAAUUCCUUGUCGGGUAAGUUCCGACCUGCACGAAUGGCGUAAUGAUGGCCAGGCUGUCUCCACCCGAGACUCAGUGAAAUUGAACUCGCUGUGAAGAUGCAGUGUACCCGCGGCAAGACGGAAAGACCCCGUGAACCUUUACUAUAGCUUGACACUGAACAUUGAGCCUUGAUGUGUAGGAUAGGUGGGAGGCUUUGAAGUGUGGACGCCAGUCUGCAUGGAGCCGACCUUGAAAUACCACCCUUUAAUGUUUGAUGUUCUAACGUUGACCCGUAAUCCGGGUUGCGGACAGUGUCUGGUGGGUAGUUUGACUGGGGCGGUCUCCUCCUAAAGAGUAACGGAGGAGCACGAAGGUUGGCUAAUCCUGGUCGGACAUCAGGAGGUUAGUGCAAUGGCAUAAGCCAGCUUGACUGCGAGCGUGACGGCGCGAGCAGGUGCGAAAGCAGGUCAUAGUGAUCCGGUGGUUCUGAAUGGAAGGGCCAUCGCUCAACGGAUAAAAGGUACUCCGGGGAUAACAGGCUGAUACCGCCCAAGAGUUCAUAUCGACGGCGGUGUUUGGCACCUCGAUGUCGGCUCAUCACAUCCUGGGGCUGAAGUAGGUCCCAAGGGUAUGGCUGUUCGCCAUUUAAAGUGGUACGCGAGCUGGGUUUAGAACGUCGUGAGACAGUUCGGUCCCUAUCUGCCGUGGGCGCUGGAGAACUGAGGGGGGCUGCUCCUAGUACGAGAGGACCGGAGUGGACGCAUCACUGGUGUUCGGGUUGUCAUGCCAAUGGCACUGCCCGGUAGCUAAAUGCGGAAGAGAUAAGUGCUGAAAGCAUCUAAGCACGAAACUUGCC